rnacentral:lncRNA from 1 species
AUAUCUUCAGUUCAUAUUUUAACCAUUAUACUCCAGGUAUGGGAGAAAGGUGUAUGGAGACUACCGUAAAAUCAUUAUGAUUAAUAGUGUCAUGUUGGCUAUACUUUUGUGUAAAAUGGUCUUACAAUGACUUUUGAGUCUUUUAUACCAUGGCUUCUUCUUAAAGCAGCUUUUUUCAGAAGCUUCUUCAUUUGACUAUUCCAUUAACACCUAGCCUUGUUUGACCUUCCUUUAUUGCGGCCGCUCGUGCGGUCUGUUAUUGUGCCACUUUCGUCUGUCUUCAUUGCUGCAAUGCAACACCU